rnacentral:rRNA from 1 species
GACGAACGCUGGCGGCGUGCUUAACACAUGCAAGUCGAACGGAAAGGCCCUGCUUUUGUGGGGUGCUCGAGUGGCGAACGGGUGAGUAACACGUGAGUAACCUGCCCUUGACUUUGGGAUAACUUCAGGAAACUGGGGCUAAUACCGGAUAGGAGCUCCUGCUGCAUGGUGGGGGUUGGAAAGUUUCGGCGGUUGGGGAUGGACUCGUGGCUUAUCAGCUUGUUGGUGGGGGAGUGGCUUACCAAGGCUUUGACGGGUAGCCGGCCUGAGAGGGUGACCGGCCAGAUUGGGACUGAGAUACGGCGCAGACUCCUACGGGAGGCAGAAGUGGGGAAGAUUGCAGAAUGGGCGGAAGCCUGAGGCAGCAACGCCGCGUGCGGGAGGAUGGCCUUCGGGUUGGAAACCGCUUUCGCCGGUGAAGAAGUGUGAGUGAGGGUAAUGGGUAAAGAAGCACCGGCUAACUACGUG